UAAAAAGAACUCAGCUGCAGAGCAUCAGAUUCCACUAACCAUUGGCAAGACAUGCUUUUGGGGCUCUUGAAACACUGCUGAAGGAAGAGUGUUGGGACUGCACUCUGCUCUGAAGUUCCUGGGGCUAUCAGAGAGCUACAAGCUUCUGUAGCCUGAAGUGUAACCAUAUAAGGAGAAAUUGAGUUCAGUUGACUCCAUGUUAAUGAAGCAGCUUCUACUGAACGAGUGGACUGAGGAUGAACCCACUUCAGUCCUAGUUUUGUAUCCCGAUUAAGAGUCUGGCUCUUUGGAAUGUCACGGCUUUGGAGUGGGCUCUGGAGGGGUGUUGAUGACACCUUUAGGGGUGAGCUGCAAUUUUGGCUUUCCACUGUCUAGAAGAGGAAGAAUAAUUAUACCAUUCACAGUAUUCACAAGACAAGAACUCAUCAGAGAUUCAAAAGCAGAAUAAUGUUGGGACCCCAGAGAAGUAUUCUUGGCUUUUCUCAGAAGGAAGAUACUGCGUAAUGUGAGGAACAAAUAUCCUCUACAGCAUCUCUAUGGCCCCAGUGUGUGUUGUUCCUCUCUAUAUGUCCAUGUGUUCUCAUCAUUAAGUGGCACUUUAAAGAUGCUUCCAUUAAUUGACAGUUCUGAGUCCAUGAUGGUAAAACUUUUGAGAAACAAACUGACUGCCAAGGAAAAGUCUCCAUGCACUACAAACAGUUUUGGCUUCUUUUGAAGAGAUUGACAAUCAGGAGUCUGAAUCAGGAAUUGACCAGCUGACCAGCUGGCUAAGCACCCAAAUGUGUGUGGUGAGGGUGAGACUUAAAAACAGAGUUCAACGUCUGAAAUCUAGAAGCAAUUUGGUGCCAGUGUUCUCCACACGAGGUAAUUGUGAUGCCUAUAGUUGACAGCUGUUUGCAGGAGUGAUCCAGCCUGAAUGAUGUAUUUUCCCUCACAUUCUUCCCAGUGAUGGACAGUCUGUAUCUGCCUCCUGCCAGCCGGGUUGCAAACAUAAUGUACUCUUUGCGGCUUCAAUCAAAAUGAAAUUCUUCAUGGAAAACUGUACUAUAACUGGAAGUAUUUGAAAAUCAGAGAAGACAGAUGAGCUGAAUGAUACAACACAUGGCUGCUGUAAUUGAGCAGUGUAGCUGGAUUAUUUUAUUUUAUCUAUGGAUAUAUCAACCAAAGGAAUCCUGUGUUUAAUUUUAUAAGUCAGAGUACCCUUUCAGUUGUGCAGUAUUUGAGAUAUUAGAAUAAUUUAUUUCUCUUUGGGCUCUCUCCCUUUUUCUAAACCUGUUGUCCUUCAGAUGGGACACAGUAUUACUAACCAGAUGAGAAAAGACAUUGUUGACAUGCUGAACAUGGCAGAUCAAAGGAACCA